CUACGGGAGGCAGCAGUGAGGAAUAUUCGGCAAUGGGGGCAACCCUGACCGAGCAACGCCGCGUGCAGGAUGAAGGUCUACGGAUCGUAAACUGCUUUUCUCGGGGAAGAGAACGGACGGUACCCGAGGAAGAAGUCCCGGCUAACUACGUGCCAGCAGCCGCGGUAAUACGUAGGGGGCGAGCGUUGUCCGGAUUUAUUGGGCGUAAAGGGCCUGUAGGCGGUCUGCUACGUUCAUGCUGACGGGUGCCGGCUUAACCGGCGCAGAUGUGUGAAUACGAGCAGACUUGAGAGCGAGAGAGGGACAUGGAAUUCCAGGUGGAGCAGUGAAAUGCGUAGAGAUCUGGAGGAACACCGAAGGCGAAGGCAGUGUCCUGGCUCGUGUCUGACGCUGAGGGGCGAAAGCCAGGGGAGCGAACGGGAUUAGAUACCCGUGUAGUCC
rnacentral:rRNA from 1 species